rnacentral:rRNA from 1 species
CGGCGGACGGGUGAGUAACACGUGGGUAACCUACCUAUAAGACUGGGAUAACUCCGGGAAACCGGAGCUAAUACCGGAUAAUAUAUUGAACCGCAUGGUUCAAUAGUGAAAGACGGUUUUGCUGUCACUUAUAGAUGGAUCCGCGCCGCAUUAGCUAGUUGGUAAGGUAACGGCUUACCAAGGCAACGAUGCGUAGCCGACCUGAGAGGGUGAUCGGCCACACUGGAACUGAGACACGGUCCAG